AUAAAAUCGGAGGCCACGACUGUUUACUAAAAACACAAUUCAGAGCAAUGAUUAAGAUAAUAGUAUUCUGAAUGAAAUUUGCUCAAUGCCAUUAAUAUAAAAGAGGUAAUUUUAAAGUUACUAAUUGAAAGUCUGGUUAAUAGCGGUCUUAACUAUGAGGAUCCUAAGGUAGCAAAAUAAAUUGGCCAUUAAAUGUGGUCUAGUAUCAAUAAUGUAACGAUGGUCUCACUGUCUCUACAACUUGCUCAGUGAAAUUGAAUUGCGAGUGCAGAUGCUCGCUAUCUUCAGAGGGACGG
rnacentral:rRNA from 1 species